rnacentral:lncRNA from 1 species
UUGCCUGUCCCAGCCAAUGACUUUGACAAAAUAAUCUGAGAGAGGUCAUCGUUUAUACUAACUUGCUGAACAAUUGAAAAUAAAAUAAAACACUAGCAAUAUUUAAUUCAUGCGAAUUUCAUUGGGUCAAACUCUAGGGCCCAUGACUUGGAGCAUCCAGACUCAUAUGCACAGCCCCUGUUGGGUCAUUUACAAGUCUGGCCCAAUUCACAACUUACGCACAAAUUAGCGCAAAAUUCUGGAGAUAAUCAAUCUUCAUAAGUUGGGUUUCAAAUUUGAAAUACAUUUGUAAUGAAUUGAAACAAGAUACAAUGCCAAACUAGAAUCAAAUUCAUAGAUUUAAACCAUCUGAUGACUCAACGCUAUUUAUUACAAUUACAGCCACUUUACACUAAUAAUCAAACCCAGUUCAUGUUCUUCCCUUCCAUUUCCCAUGAUUUAUUAAAGGUAUUUACCUCUUUAAUGUGAAUCCUCCCUAAAAGCAGGAAACAAACAUAGUAACUCUUACUGUUACGCAAAUAAAUAGCAACUGAAUCAAUGAAAUAUUUUCUUUAUCCUCAUUCAAUUAUAUUUUCAAAUAUAUGAUGUUAACAAAGACAUGGAAUCAAAUCACAUGAAACUGCUUGCAUGUUAUAAGGUCCAAUUUAAUCCAUAACCAUGGUCUAAUCAAGUUUACAAGCAUUUCACUCACCGCUGAAACUAAAUAAUAGCUAAUGGAUCAAAAUAGUAACAGCAAAUGAAUUAAGAAAUAACCACGAUUUCAUUUUAAAGCAGAUCUGGUAUAGAAUUCAGAUUGAGACACAUACCUAAAUCACAGGAGCUAAUUUAAAGAGCAAAUUGCCAAAUAAAGGCCAAACUUGAAGGUUGGAGCUCAGCUACUAAGUUGAUAGCAGAAAAACUUCAAUCACAGAUGAAAUCCAAGUUGAAGAACCCAGAAAAUGAUAGAGGAAAUCAUUUGGAAUUGACUAAAACAGUUGCAGCUCUCCCUAAUUGUUUUUGAGUAUAAAAUUGCUUAAACCUUUAUUGUUUUUUGGUGUUUUUCUUGUCAAUUUUUGAAGCUGAAAUUUUAGAUCUAAGAUCUGAAUUUGAAAGCUGUUUUUGAAUUAUUUUUUAGAGGCUGCUUUGUGACAAAUGCCUGAACGAAGAGAGAGUGAGUGUCAGUGCAGGUGCGUGAAGGGGAGAGUCUUUAUGCGGGAGUCUGUCCAUCAGAGAAU